GUUGUGGGACUACCUUAGAGUUCACAGAAAUAAAUUUAAAUAGUCUAGGUUAGUCUGUGUCAUGUCCCUUGAUCCACUCAAGAGACGACAUAAACCUGAGAUAAAUGAGACAAUUGUCACUGAAGCAUUGGAGAGUUUUACACUAUACUUUUUAAAAAGUAGAAGAAAUAAACUCUAGUAAAAAGCAAUAUGAUAUGAUAGUUAAUACAUAAACCAGGAACAUAAGUGUCCAUUUUGCCAAUUUCUUGUGCUAUAUGUAAUUGUGUGCACUAUUUAAGAGACUG
rnacentral:lncRNA from 1 species